GCCGAAGUGGCGGAACCGGCAGACGCGGCGGACUCAAAAUCCGUUUCCUUCACGGGAGUGUGGGUUCGACUCCCACCUUCGGCA
rnacentral:tRNA from 1 species